rnacentral:lncRNA from 1 species
CUCAAUCUGUUGACCCUCCCCUCUGAAGGCUCUUAGGGCCAGCGGGCCCAGGAGCUCCUAGUCAUGGGAUUUCAUGGACCUAUCACUUUUUAAAAGUUAGGUCUGCUCACUCUGUGUCAUCAAGGACAGACCCAAUGGCCCUAAUACGAACCCACUGCCAUUUGUUAUCUCCAAGCAGCAGAGCUCUCAGCAUCAAGGACUUUCUAAGAAAGGACCAUGGCGAUGGCUUUGUGACCUGCCUGGCCAGGGCCUCAGCUCUCAAGUUGCAGGUGAGGUCAGCCUCAGGAUACCUCCACCACUGACCAGCUGCCGAACCUCUCUGGGCCGCAAUGUCCUCCUCUGAAAAUGAAAAUCAUGGUGUUACCAACCUCA